rnacentral:lncRNA from 1 species
CUGUAGGUAGGUAGGUAGUACUGCUCUGGUAUAGCUGUAGAUAGGUAGUACUGCUCUGGUAGGACUGUAGGUAGGUAGUGGUGCUCUGGUAGGGCUGUAGGUAGGUAGGUAGUACUGCUCUGGUAUAGCUGUAGAUAGGUAGUACUGCUCUGGUAGGACUGUAGGUAGGUAGUACUGCUCUGGUAGUGCUGUAGAUAGGUUGUACUGCUCUGGUAGGACUGUAGGUAGGUAGGUAGUCAUUUCUGCUCUGGUAGGGCUGUAGAUAAGUAGUACUGCUCUGGUAGGGCUGUAGGUAGGUAGGUAGUACUGCUCUGGUAGGGCUGUAGGUAGGCAGUUCUGCUCUGGUAGGGCUGUAGGUAGGUAGUGGUGCUCUGGUAGGGCUGUAGGUAGGUAGGUUGUACUGCUCUGGUAGGACUGUAGAUAGGUAGUACUGCUCUGGUAGGGCUGUAGGUAGGUAGGUAGUACUGCUCUGGUAGGGCUGUAAGUAGGUAGGUUGUACUGCUCUGGUAGGGCUGUAGGUAGGUAGGUAGUACUGCUCUGGUAGGUCUGUAGAUAGGAAGGUAGUACUGCUCUGGUAGGGCUGUAAGUAGGUAGGUAGUACUGCUCUGGUAGGGCUGUAAGUAGGUAGGUAGUACUGCUCUGGUAGGUCUGUAGAUAGGAAGGUAGUACUGCUCUGGUAGGGCUGUAGGUAGGUAGGUUGUACUGCUCUGGUAGGGCUGUAAGUAGGUAGGUAGUACUGCUCUGGUAGGGCUGUAGGUAGGUAAUACUUCUCUGUUAGGACUGUAGGUAGGUCGGUAGUACUGCUCUGGUAGGGCUGUAAGUAGGUAGUUCUGCUCACGUAGGGCUGUAGUAGGUAAGUAGUACUGCUCUGGUACGCCUGGGGGUAGGUAGGUAGUACUGCUCUGGUAGGGCUGUAGGUAGGUAGUACUGCUCUGGUAGGGCUGUAGGUAGGUAGUACUGCUCUGGUAGGGCUGUAGGUAGGUAGUGGUGCUCUGGGAAGGCUGCUUCCUUUAUGACUGGAGAUCUCAUAGGAGAUGAGGCUAGGCUACGAUCAUGUCACGGCUGGUCCAACCUGUCUCUCUGACAUCCCAGCACCCUGCCUGGUUCAACCUGUCUCUCUGACAUCCCAGCACCCUGCCUGGUUCAACCUGUCUCUCUCUGACUUCCCAGCACCCUGCCUGGUUCAACCUGUCUCUCUGACUUCCCAGCACCCUGCCUGGUUCAACCUGUCUCUCUGACUUCCCAGCACCCUGCCUGGUUCAACCUGUCUCUCUGACAUCCCAGCACCCUGCCUGGUUCAACCUGUCUCUCUCUGACUUCCCAGCCCCCUGCCUGGUCCAACCUGUCUCUCUGACAUCCCAGCACCCUGCCUGAUCCAACCUGUCUCUCUCUGACAUCCCAGCAGUCAGACAGACAUCCAGACAGACAUCCAGACAGACAGUCAAACAGACAGACAUCCAGACAGACAGACAGUCAGUCAGACAGUCAAACAGACAGACAGUCAGUCAGACAGUCAAACAGACAGACAGUCAGUCAGCACAUGAAGGUGUUUUCUCAGCAGAUGUAUUUGUGUUCUCAGUAUGUAGCGUGGACAUUGCUAUAGCUCUGCUUCAGCAUUAUUACAGCGUUGCUAUAGCGUCGUUACAGCGUUGCUAUAGCGUCAUUACAGCGUUGCUAUAGCGUCGUUACAGCGUUGCUAUAGCGUUGUUACAGCGCUGCUAUAGCGUCGUUACAGCGUUGCUAUAGCGUCGUUACAGCGUUGCUAUAGCGUCUCUUUCACUUUGUUACAAAGUCAACAUCCUGAUUCCAUUAGUCAUGCUGAUUCCAUGUGUACUACCUCACCAGUCUAUGUGUACUACAUCGCCAUCCCCAUGGUGACACGACAGAGUAGACAUCUCUCUCCUUCUCCUCCCCCUUUCCCACUCCUCCUCCUCUCCCCAAGUCGUCCCCCUCCUCCUCCUCCUCCCC